rnacentral:rRNA from 1 species
CCUACGGGAGGCAGCAGUGGGGAAUAUUGGACAAUGGGGGCAACCCUGAUCCAGCAAUGCCGCGUGAGUGAUGAAGGCCUUAGGGUUGUAAAGCUCUUUCGCCCGCGACGAUGAUGACGGUAGCGGGAGAAGAAGCCCCGGCUAACUUCGUGCCAGCAGCCGCGGUAAU